AGCGAACGCUGGCGGCAGGCCUAACACAUGCAAGUCGAACGAACCCUUCGGGGUUAGUGGCGGACGGGUGAGUAACACGUGGGAACGUGCCUUUAGGUUCGGAAUAACUCAGGGAAACUUGUGCUAAUACCGAAUGUGCCCUUCGGGGGAAAAAUUUAUCGCCUUUAGAGCGGCCCGCGUCUGAUUAGCUAGUUGGUGAGGUAAUGGCCCACCAAGGCUACGAUCAGUAGCUGGUCUGAGAGGAUGACAGCCACAUUGGGACUGAGACACGGCCCAAACUCCUACGGGAGGCAGCAGUGGGGAAUCUUGCGCAAUGGGCGAAAGCCUGACGCAGCCAUGCCGCGUGGAUGAUGAAGGUCUUAGGAUUGUAAAAUCCUUUCACCGGUGAAGAUAAUGACUGUAGCCGGAGAAGAAGCCCCGGCUAACUUCGUGCCAGCCGCCGCAGUAAAAC
rnacentral:rRNA from 1 species